AGCGAACGCUGGCGGCAGGCUUAACACAUGCAAGUCGAGCGGGCCCUUCGGGGUCAGCGGCAGACGGGUGAGUAACACGUGGGAACGUACCCUUUGGUUCGGAAUAACGCUGGGAAACUAGCGCUAAUACCGGAUACGCCCUUUUGGGGAAAGGCUUGCUGCCGAAGGAUCGGCCCGCGUCUGAUUAGCUAGUUGGUGGGGUAAUGGCCUACCAAGGCGACGAUCAGUAGCUGGUCUGAGAGGAUGAUCAGCCACACUGGGACUGAGACACGGCCCAGACUCCUACGGGAGGCAGCAGUGGGGAAUAUUGGACAAUGGGCGCAAGCCUGAUCCAGCCAUGCCGCGUGAGUGAUGAAGGCCUUAGGGUUGUAAAGCUCUUUUGUCCGGGACGAUAAUGACGGUACCGGAAGAAUAAGCCCCGGCUAACUUCGUGCCAGCAGCCGCGGUAAUACGAAGGGGGCUAGCGUUGCUCGGAAUCACUGGGCGUAAAGGGCGCGUAGGCGGCCAUUCAAGUCGGGGGUGAAAGCCUGUGGCUCAACCACAGAAUUGCCUUCGAUACUGUUUGGCUUGAGUUUGGUAGAGGUUGGUGGAACUGCGAGUGUAGAGGUGAAAUUCGUAGAUAUUCGCAAGAACACCAGUGGCGAAGGCGGCCAACUGGACCAAUACUGACGCUGAGGCGCGAAAGCGUGGGGAGC
rnacentral:rRNA from 1 species